rnacentral:snRNA from 1 species
UGGAGCUCGGACGCGAGU